CAUGCAAGUCGAACGAGAAUCUACUGAAAGAGUUUUCGGACGAUGGAAGUAGAGGAAAGUGGCGGACGGGUGAGUAACGCGUGAGGAACCUGCCUUGAAGAGGGGGACAACAGUUGGAAACGACUGCUAAUACCGCAUGAAGCAUAGGGGUCGCAUGAUUCUUAUGCCAAAGAUUUAUCGCUUCAAGAUGGCCUCGCGUCUGAUUAGCUAGUUGGCGGGGUAACGGCCCACCAAGGCGACGAUCAGUAGCCGGACUGAGAGGUUGAACGGCCACAUUGGGACUGAGAUACGGCCCAGACUCCUACGGGAGGCAGCAGUGGGGAAUAUUGGGCAAUGGGCGCAAGCCUGACCCAGCAACGCCGCGUGAAGGAAGAAGGCUUUCGGGUUGUAAACUUCUUUUAAGAGGGAAGAGCAGAAGACGGUACCUCUAGAAUAAGCCACGGCUAACUACGUGCCAGCAGCCGCGGUAAUACGUAGGUGGCAAGCGUUGUCCGGAUUUACUGGGUGUAAAGGGCGUGCAGCCGGGUCUGCAAGUCAGAUGUGAAAUCCAUGGGCUCAACCCAUGAACUGCAUUUGAAACUGUAGAUCUUGAGUGUCGGAGGGGCGAUCGGAAUUCCUAGUGUAGCGGUGAAAUGCGUAGAUAUUAGGAGGAACACCAGUGGCGAAGGCGGAUUGCUGGACGAUAACUGACGGUGAGGCGCGAAAGUGUGGGGAGCAAACAGGAUUAGAUACCCUGGUAGUCCACACUGUAAACGAUGAAUACUAGGUGUGCGGGGACUGACCCCCUGCGUGCCGCAGUAAACACAAUAAGUAUUCCACCUGGGGAGUACGAUCGCAAGGUUGAAACUCAAAGGAAUUGACGGGGGCCCGCACAAGCGGUGGAUUAUGUGGUUUAAUUCGAAGCAACGCGAAGAACCUUACCAGGGUUUGACAUCCUGCUAACGAAGUAGAGAUACAUUAGGUGCCCU
rnacentral:rRNA from 1 species